CCCUUAGAUGUCCUGGGCCGCACGCGUGCUACACUGACGCCUACAGCGAGUACUUCCCAGCCCCGAGAGGUGGCUGGUAAUCAGCAAUAGGCGUCGUGAUGGGGAUAGAUCUUUGGAAUUAUGGAUCUUGAACGAGGAAUGCCUAGUAAGCGCAGGUCAUUAGCCUGCGCUGAUUAAGUCCCUGCCCUUUGUACACACCGCCCGUCGCUCCUACCGAUUUCGAGUGAUCCGGUGAAUCUUUCGGACUGCGCGCGGCCUCGUGCCGUGUCGCGGAAAGUCAGGUAAACCUUAUCACUUAGAGGAAGGAGAAGUCGUAACA
rnacentral:rRNA from 1 species